GGUACCAUGUGGCCGACUGGCUAACGCUUUUGCCUAUCAUCCAUAAGGCCUAGGUUCGAUUCCACCUGGUGGCA